UACAGAGGUCUCAAGCGUUGUUCGGAUUCAUUGGGCGUAAAGGGUGCGUAGGCGGCGCGGUAAGUCGGGUGUGAAAUCUCGGGGCUUAACUCCGAAACUGCAUUCGAUACUGCCGUGCUUGAGGACUGGAGAGGAGACUGGAAUUCCUGGUGUAGCGGUGAAAUGCGCAGAUAUCAGGAGGAACACCAGCGGCGAAGGCGGCGCUCUGGGCCGGUACUGACACUGAGGAGCGAAAGCGUGGGUAGCAAACAGG
rnacentral:rRNA from 1 species